rnacentral:snRNA from 1 species
AUAUCUUUUGGAUCAGCCUUUUGGCUAAGAUUAAGAGUACUAUCUAUUCUUAUCAAUUUAAUACCCGAUAUGUGUCCUACCCGGGCACUAUAUAUUACAUUUGUGACUGUUA